AACGAACGCUGGCGGCAUGCCUAACACAUGCAAGUCGAACGAGACCUUCGGGUCUAGUGGCGCACGGGUGCGUAACGCGUGGGAAGCUGCCCUUAGGUUCGGAAUAACUCCCCGAAAGGGGUGCUAAUACCGGAUAAUGUCUUCGGACCAAAGAUUUAUCGCCUUUGGAUGGGCCCGCGUUGGAUUAGCUAGUUGGUAGGGUAAAAGCCUACCAAGGCGACGAUCCAUAGCUGGUCUGAGAGGCUGAUCAGCCACACUGGGACUGAGACACGGCGCAGAAUACUACACGAGGCAGCAGUCGGGAAUAUUGGACAGUGGGCGAAAGCCUGAUCCACCUAUGACGCGUGAGUGAUGAAGGCCUUAGGGUUGUAAAGCUCUUUUACCCUGGAUGAUAAUGACAGUACCGGGAGAAUAAGCUCCGGCUAACUCCGUG
rnacentral:rRNA from 1 species